UACGGAGGGUGCGAGCGUUAAUCGGAAUUACUGGGCGUAAAGCGCACGUAGGCGGUCAGGCAAGUCGGGUGUGAAAGCCCUGGGCUCAACCUGGGAAUUGCAUUCGAAACUAUCUGACUCGAGUAUGGGAGAGGGAAGCGGAAUUUCCGGUGUAGCGGUGAAAUGCGCAGAUAUCGGGAAGAACACCCGUGGCGAAGGCGGCUCUCUGGGACGGUACUGACGCUGAGACGCGAAAGCGUGGGGAGCGAACAGG
rnacentral:rRNA from 1 species